rnacentral:rRNA from 1 species
AUGCUGCCAUCCAGGCCGAGGUGGGCUGCCGGAUCGCUAGACAGCGCUGCAUUUCAGCAGAUCCGGGUCGUGGGGCGCUGGGCCGAGGACUCCUCCGGCUUCCAGUUCCAAAGCCACGCCUCCGCACGAGCGCAGCACGUCCUUGCUACCAGCACCACCACGUACUCCAUGCAAUCUUCUGAGCGUGCCAGCAGCAGUGGCGACAUGACGGAGCAGAUAGUGGCAGCGCAACUGGAGAAGGAAGACGCACUCCAACUCCAGGACCUCAUGGAGCCGCGGAGCGACGGCGCCACGCCAACGUCGCCGGCGUCGGCGCGGGUGUGGCUUCUGGAGCGAGAGGUGGCCACGGCGAAGCAGACCGAGACCAAGAUGCUGGAGUCGCUGAUCAGCCAGACCAAGGAGCUGGAGCAGGCCAAGAUGGCGCUCGAGGAGGCCAAGCUCGAGACCGCCACGCUGCGGCAGGCGGGGUCAGCGCAGCAGGGCCAGUGGAGCGUCAGGGACCUCAUGUUCGGCGGCGUCGACGAGGAGAUCAACGGGCUGCGGGCCAGGCUGCGGUCCGCGCUGGCCGCCGAGGAGAGGACCCGGAAGGCCGCCGACGACCUCGCCGCCGCGCUCUCCGCCGUCACCAUGGAGGCCAAGCAGGUGAAGACGUGGCUCUCCGACGCGCAGGCCGACCUCGAGCGCGCCAACGCCGAGGCCGGCCGGCUCGAGGGCCUGCUGCGCGCCAACGAGGCGGACCUGUGGUCGGCCACCGAGCAGCUCGACGGCGUCAUGUCGGACUGGAAGGAGGCCGCGGCCGCUUGGCGCGCCAGGGAGAAGGCGCUGCUCGCACGCGCCCGCGCGGCCGAGGAGGACGCCGCCGCCGCCCGGCGUGAGAACGCCGAGCUCGCCGAGAUGCACCGGGCGGUCGACCACGACAACGACGGCCUGCGGCGCGCGCUCGAGCGGGCGGCGGAGGAGGCCAACGCGGCCAGCGAGUCGCUCGAGUUCGCCAGCGGCGAGAACUCCAAGCUGCGCGACGCCGUCGCCGGGAAAGAGGACGCCAUGGAGUCCCUGAGGCUGGAGAACGAGUCGCUCAAGGCCAGCGAGGCUGCCGCGCAGGGGCGUGCCACGGAUCUGCAGAAUCAGCUCACAGAGGCAACCAAGACGGCCGAUGGUGGCGCCGGCAGUGGGGAGAAGGCAUGCGCUGCGGGGCUGCUGUUGGAGGAGUGGAAGACCGAUGCGCAUGGGAAGCUUAGCGCGGCGGCGUUCCUGGACUCCGGCAGGGUGAUGGCCGCCGCGAGCCGGAAGGAUCGUCGGAUGUUCGCGUCCAUCAGCAACCUCGCGGAGCUAAGGUCCGCCGCGGCGGCGGCGGCCAUGGACGAUUACUACGAGUUCGACCACUUCGAUGACGGGAGACAGUACGGUGGCCUGGAGCAUGCCAUGAAGCAGAGGAAGAGGAGGUCCGUUCUACGCAAAUUCGGAGACUUUUUUAGGAGAAGAAGCCUCCACAAGUCAGACUUUGGCCCAGUUCUAGCUAGGUAG